GUUGGCUUAGAAGCAGCCACUCAUUCAAAGAGUGCGUAAUAGCUCACUGGUCGAGUGAUCCUGCGCCGAAGAUUUCCGGGGCUAAAACUUACUACCGAAGCUACGGCAUCAGUAAUGAUGGGUAGGGGGGCUUCCCAUACGGGUUGAAGCAGGACCGUAAGGACAUGUGGACAGUAUGGGAGUGAGAAUGUUGGCAUGAGUAGCGAGAUGUGGGUGAGAAUCCCACAGGCCGUAAACCCAAGGUUUCCAGGGGAAGGUUCGUCCGCCCUGGGUUAGUCGGGACCUAAGCUGAGGCCGAAAGGCGUAGGUGAUGGACAACAGGUUGAUAUUCCUGUACUACCGAU
rnacentral:rRNA from 1 species